rnacentral:rRNA from 1 species
AGCGAACGCUGGCGGCAGGCCUAACACAUGCAAGUCGAGCGGGAACUUCGGUUCUAGCGGCGGACGGGUGAGUAAUGCGUAGGAAGCUACCCGACAGAGGGGGAUACCAGUUGGAAACGACUGUUAAUACCGCAUAAUGUCUACGGACCAAAGUGUGGGACCUUCGGGCCACAUGCUGUCGGAUGCGCCUACGUGGGAUUAGCUAGUUGGUGAGGUAAUGGCUCACCAAGGCGACGAUCCCUAGCUGGUUUGAGAGGAUGAUCAGCCACACUGGAACUGAGACACGGUCCAGGCUCCUACGGGAGGCAGCAGUGGGGAAUAUUGGACAAUGGGCGCAAGCCUGAUCCAGCCAUGCCGCGUGUGUGAAGAAGGCCUUCGGGUUGUAAAGCACUUUCAGUAGGGAGGAAGCGUUGUGUGUUAAUAGUACACAGCGUUGACGUUACCUACAGAAGAAGCACCGGCUAACUCUGUGCCAGCAGCCGCCGUAACAC